AUGGCCUUGGAGCUAAAUAAAGGCAGGCCCGUCUUAGAGGGGAUCCCUGGGGGGAAAGAGACGAGCAUAGGUUCCUCCCAAGAUGCCACCCGCUUCAUUCAAGUGUCUGGCAGCACUGUGUUCCUGUUAGAGCCACCAGCACAAGCACCAGACGAUGCUGAUCCAGGUGAAGGCCCCAGUGCAGCAGCAACAGCACAUGAUGGAGACGAUGAUGAGGAGGAGACCAUCUCUCUGGAUUCCAGAAGGCAUGAGGACCCAGAUGCUAUACAGUGGGAAAACCAGCCUGGCAACAUAAGCUCACAAGCUAUCAGAAAGUUGUAUGGCAACCACCUCCGGCGCCAAAUAGAACUGGCAGACAUAGACAUUCAGUACAAGAAGAAAAAGAUGGAAAAUCUUGCACUGGAGUUCAAAAUAAAAAAGAGGACAAUUAGGAAACUGGACCUUGAAAUAAAAAAACUUGAGAGGGAGGUGAGAUAUGCCUUCAAUGUACACUGUAUGCUAACUGUAACACAAAUGUAUUAAUCAUUAUUUUUCUUUCCUCCCCCAGCUCCAAGAAGAUGACACAGCUCAAAAUAAAAAUUAGGUAUAUUCUCGUAAAGUCAAGUGAGCCAUGACAUAUGAGCUCUUAUUGUGAGCACACAGGACGGUGGCAUCUUUCUAAUUUUUUUAUUUUUUUUUCCCAGCAAUCAGUACAACCAAGUCAUCGUUAUAAGGCAUCGCCCUCUUUUGCCCACCCCCCCAGCACCAGGUGUGGCCACUAGCCUAUAUGAAGGCCCAAAAUUGUGUGUUCCUUUCUGCUCUGACAAUGGCAUGCCCAUUCGUGCGAGAUGUGGUGGAUGAAGAAGCACUUGUGCUGAGGAGAGCCUUCAGGCGAGAAAGGGUCUUCAGGGACCGGUUGGACCCACUGGCCUUCCCUGAUGACCAUCUAUAUGAAAGAUACAGGUUUUCUGCAGAUGGCAUCAGGUAUCUAUGCAGACUACUGGGUCCCAGGAUUAAGCACCACACUGCACGGAGCCAUGCACUGAGUGUGGAGCAAAUGGUUUGUGUGGCCUUGCGCUUUUUUGCUAGUGGAGCCUUCCUGUACUCAGUGGGGGAUGCAGAACAGCUGAACAAGGCCACAAUUUGCCGCACAAUAAGGAGUGUGUGUCUGGCUAUCAAAGCAUUAGCAGAUGUCUUCAUCUCCUUCCCUGGCCACAGAAGACUCUGUGACAUCAAAGAGGAGUUCUAUAGGAUUGCAGGUAAGAGGAUCUACAAAUUACAGGACAACUGUUAACACAUAGUAGGAUACUCAUUACUUUGUGUGACAGGUUUCCCCAAUGUCAUUGGUGCAGUGGACUGCACACACAUAAGGAUAAAAGCCCCCUCAGGUGCCCAUGAGGCCGAUUUUGUGAAUAGGAAAUCCUUUCACAGCAUUAAUGUUCAGGUGAACAUAACUUUUUGAUAUUGUCCAUUGACGAACACUCUGCAUUGCCAGUGAUGUGCAUUGAUUGGUGUAAUAUUCCUCAUCUUAUGAUUUCAGAUGGUCUGCAAUGCUGACUGUGUGAUCAGCAAUGUUGUGGCAAAAUGGCCUGGCUCAGUCCAUGACUCCAGAAUCUUUCGGGCCUCUGAAAUCUAUCAGUGCCUAUCACAAGGUAAGCCACACAACCCCUAUUUAUAACCAUCAUGGCUGUGUCAAGAAUAUCACUGUUUAUGAGGUAGUAAUGAUGAGAUUUUGUGUUGACAGGUGAAUUCUCUGGUGUGUUGCUGGGAGACAGGGGGUAUGGCUGCCAGCCUUUUCUCCUGACACCUUUCACAGACUCCCAGGAAGCACAGCAGGCCUACAACCAUGCCCAUGCCAGGACCAGGGCCAGAGUUGAAAUGAUAUGGCUUGUGCUGUCCUCCACAAUGUGGCCUGCCUGAGGAAGGAGAGGGCCCCCAGAGUGCCACCAGCCAUGGACUGGGACAAUCCGGCAAUCUUCCCUGAUGACGACAGUGGUCGGCUGCUGAGGGACCAAUAUGUGUUGAAUUAUUUUAGUUAGUAUGUGUGCUUUCAAUUUUGGUUAAAUAUGUCCUGCGGUGGCAGAGGAAUUUGGUUUUUUUGGGGUUCGUUUUUUGACGAAUUUGGCCUCUUAGGAUGUUUGUGCGGUAUACUGUAUGUAAUACAAGGCUGCAGGGAGGCUACUGCAUCCAUUCAUUUGUCUGUUCAGUUGAUGUGUAUGGAUUUGUCCUGCAUUUAUUUUAGUGUGCAGACAUGCAGGGUGUGUUAUAUACAGACCUUUGAAUGUGUAUGUAUCAUUUUGUAUAAUAUGCUUGGAUUCUGUGCUUUCCAUCUUGUAGAGUCACUGUGACUUCAGUUUCGAAAGGAGCUGAUGGUUUACCUGCUUUGUUUUGUCCUUAUUCAAUAAAGGAACAUAAUGUUACACAUUGUGUUUUUAUAUUCAUAUGGAAUG
ensembl:lncRNA